AUGGGAGACAUAUUUUUUCAAUAUAAUCCGUCUUACAAGGACGUUGAGAGCUUACUACAGGCUUUUUUAAGUGAACGUGAAAAAAAUAAAAUAAUUGCUCAUGUCAACAAAACCCGGGGGCGUAAUGCAGCACAUUGGCCAUCUCAGGAUCCCGAAUGGGACUAUAAUAAUCCUGAGGACUAUCUACAACUAUACCGUUGUAGAGAGGCCAUCCUCACGGCCAUGAAGGAAUGUGCGGACAGUACAGAUAAGUGGAUGGAACUGGAAAAAAUUAAGCAAAAGGAAAACGAAACACCCUCCAGAUUUAUGGACAGAAUUAUCGAGUUUGGGGACAGAUACUUAGAUUGGGACUUAAAUAAAGAGAAUAGUUUAAGACAAGUUAGAAGAAUCUUUGUAAAUAAUUCUUGCAAAGUAAUUAAAAAUUAUUUUAAAACACAAUGCCCAAGAUGGUCAGAUAUGGACCUUGAAGAAUUGCGAAAAACAGCUAUAUAUGUUUUUAAGGGAAACGAAGAAAAGGAGAAAGAGAAUAAUGAUGACAUGGAGGAAAUGAAGAAAAAAAAUGAGAUGUGUGAUAGGAUAACUAAAUUAGAAAGUGGGCAUGAUAAUGAACCAACGACAAUUGCCCCUCUCCAGAAAUCCAAUUAUCAACCCAUUACUUGCCACUUCUGUGAGAAGAAGGGCCACAAAAUGAUGGAAUGUAGAACCUUUCUUAAGAUGUUUGGAAGGAAUACACAGUUUAAUAAUGGUUUUAGAAAUAAUAACUAUAGAAAUUAUGAUAAUGGUUAUAGAAACCAAAAUUCUAGAAAUUAUAAUAAUGACUAUGGAAAUAACUAUAAUGAAUAUAGAAAUAAGAGCUUUAGAAACCAGAAUUAUAGAAAUAGGAAUUGGGAAUUUAAUGACAAUGCUCAAAUUGAAGAAAAUUUUAAUGAUAAUACUCAACAAUAUAUGAGAAAUGGCGCUCGUCCAAAAAUUACUCGAGGUGCUAAUGAUCCUCAGAGAGGUGCCCUUCAGGAGGGUGCCCAGGGAACUUCCCAGUAUAAUAAAGAUGAUUCUUCUUAG
rnacentral:lncRNA from 1 species